CCAGUAUCGCGCAACUAGGUUUCAUUAAGUAAAAUACAGACGUCAGCAAGGACUAUUUCCCCACACCACAUAGUGUGCACUUGGUGCAUUGCACAAUAGCGUUACACAACGGCUCCUCGCGUGCUGCUCCCCUGUCAGAGCAGCUGUGCGCGAGCUGAGCUGUGUGGGGCUCGGGCUGCUUGACGUCACAGCGCGUUCUUACCUAACAUGGGCUCAGGCUCCGCGUGUUUCCACAAUAAACACGCAGCGCUGUGACACGGCCAGGGCGGAGGGAAUGUCGCCGGUGGCAGGAAGGACACGGCCUAUAAAGCCGGAGUGGGACAUCGUGACGGACCCUAUAUAAUAGCACCGGGAGAUGGAUUCACCACGGCAAACAAAAGAGCUCCUUUAACGUCA
ensembl:lncRNA